rnacentral:rRNA from 1 species
GUAGUCCACGCUGUAAACGAUGUCGAUUUGGAGGUUGUGCCCUUGAGGCGUGGCUUCCGGAGCUAACGCGUUAAAUCGACCGCCUGGGGAGUACGGCCGCAAGGUUAAAACUCAAAUGAAUUGACGGGGGCCCGCACAAGCGGUGGAGCAUGUGGUUUAAUUCGAUGCAACGCGAAGAACCUUACCUACUCUUGACAUCCAGAGAAUUCGCUAGAGAUAGCUUAGUGCCUUCGGGAACACUGAGACAGGUGCUGCAUGGCUGUCGUCAGCUCGUGUUGUGAAAUGUUGGGUUAAGUCCCGCAACGAGCGCAACCCUUAUCCUUUGUUGCCAGCGAUUCGGUCGGGAACUCAAAGGAGACUGCCGGUGAUAAACCGGAGGAAGGUGGGGAUGACGUCAAGUCAUCAUGGCCCUUACGAGUAGGGCUACACACGUGCUACAAUGGCGUAUACAAAGAGAAGCGAACUCGCGAGAGCAAGCGGACCUCAUAAAGUACGUCGUAGUCCGGAUUGGAGUCUGCAACUCGACUCCAUGAAGUCGGAAUCGCUAGUAAUCGUAGAUCAGAAUGCUACGGUGAAUACGUUCCCGGGCCUUGUACACACCGCCCGUCACACCAUGGGAGUGGGUUGCAAAAGAAGUAGGUAGCUUAACCUUCGGGAGGGCGCUUACCACUUUGUGAUUCAUGACUGGGGUGAAGUCGUAACAAGGUAACC